CCGGCCCCGGCGGGGGGGCUGCGCGCGCUGCUGGCCGGGGGCUGCCUGCGGGGAGGGGGUUAGACCCGGGGCCGCUAACACGCUCUCCAGCUCUAGUGCGGACGGGCCGGUGGCGGCUGUAAGCCGUGUUAGCUGGGCGGGGCCGUGCCCCCACCCCAGCGGGCACGUGUUAGACGCCUCCUGCCUUGGGCUGUAGUGUGAGCAAGGCAGGCUGGUGGCUUCACACGUGCUGGCUGGGCAGGUCUACACUUGGAGCGGAGGGCAGGGCUUGAGUCCCCUGCUCGUGUAGACUGAGCUCAGUGCACGUAUAUCUGUAAACUGGAAAACGAAAAGGACUUCUGGCCCCUUAGAGACCAACCAAUUUAUCUGAGCAUAAGCUUUCCUGAGCUACAGCUCACUUCCCCGGAUGCAAACUGGGAAUCACAUUCUCCCCCCCCCCCCCUCGCCCCAUGCCAAGUGUGGACCUAAGCUGCAUGGCCAGCUAACAUGUUACAGCUGUCCUGCGUAUGCUCUGUUUAAAACUUGUUCGCUGUCGUGGCUUUAAUGCACCUGUUUUUUCUAGUAUAUACUUAACCUUGGGGUCUGCUAUUGACACGCUCUUGCCCAAGUUAAAGGUUGGACAAGCUGCUGUUGUGGAAGCUGCUGCAUUAACCGUUGCAAUAUGUGUCCUGCCAAGGGUAGCCUGUGAUGAGCUUUGUUUGACACCUCGUAUGACACCUAAGCCGAGCUUGAUUACACUUCAUGCCUGAGGCUGCACCUUUGUACUUGUAGCUGUCAUUACUUGUUUGAGAUGUAUUAACUGGUGUCUUUUUAGGUUGCUCGAUGGUCUGGUCAACACAAGUAGAGGAAUGAAAUGGACCAGAAGAGCAGCUCACUUCCAUUGUUGGCAUCAAAAGGACUGUAAAUCUCAUUAAUUCAAAUGCACAGGCUGUAAUUUGGAUUUACUUUAAAGCACUUGUUACCUGUUAUGCAUUUUUGAAUGAAAUGUGAAAAGUAUAUUGUAUGAGUGAAAUGUAAGUCUUAUUAAACAGAGUGAAACAA